rnacentral:rRNA from 1 species
AACGAACGCUGGCGGCAUGCCUAACACAUGCAAGUCGAACGAUGCCUUCGGGCAUAGUGGCGCACGGGUGCGUAACGCGUGGGAAUCUGCCCUUGGCUUCGGAAUAACAGUUAGAAAUGACUGCUAAUACCGGAUGAUGUCCCCCUGAGAGAUCUUGGGGACCAAAGAUUUAUCGGCCAGGGAUGAGCCCGCGUAGGAUUAGGUAGUUGGUGGGGUAAAGGCCUACCAAGCCGACGAUCCUUAGCUGGUCUGAGAGGAUGAUCAGCCACACUGGGACUGAGACACGGCCCAGACUCCUACGGGAGGCAGCAGUGGGGAAUAUUGGACAAUGGGGGGAAGCCUGAUCCAGCAAUGCCGCGUGAGUGAUGAAGGCCUUAGGGUUGUAAAGCUCUUUUACCAGGGAUGAUAAUGACAGUACCUGGAGAAUAAGCUCCGGCUAACUCCGUG